rnacentral:rRNA from 1 species
UGUCGGACGUUACCAAACUGUUGCCUCGGCGGGAUCUCUGCCCCGGGUGCGUCGCAGCCCCGGACCAAGGCGCCCGCCGGAGGACCAACCAAAACUCUUAUUGUAUACCCCCUCGCGGGUUUUUUUAUAAUCUGAGCCUUCUCGGCGCCUCUCGUAGGCGUUUCGAAAAUGAAUCAAAACUUUCAACAACGGAUCUCUUGGUUCUGGCAUCGAUGAAGAACGCAGCGAAAUGCGAUAAGUAAUGUGAAUUGCAGAAUUCAGUGAAUCAUCGAAUCUUUGAACGCACAUUGCGCCCGCCAGUAUUCUGGCGGGCAUGCCUGUCCGAGCGUCAUUUCAACCCUCGAACCCCUCCGGGGGGUCGGCGUUGGGGAUCGGCCCUGCCUUGGCGGUGGCCGUCUCCGAAAUACAGUGGCGGUCUCGCCGCAGCCUCUCCUGCGCAGUAGUUUGCACACUCGCAUCGGGAGCGCGGCGCGUCCACAGCCGUUAAACACCCAACUUCUGAAAUGUUGACCUCGGAUCAGGUAGGAAUACCCGCUGAACUUAAGCAUAUCAAA